rnacentral:rRNA from 1 species
UACGUAGGGGGCAAGCGUUGUCCGGAUUUAUUGGGCGUAAAGAGCGUGUAGGUGGCCAAGCAGGUCCGCUGUGAAAACUCGAGGCUCAACCUCGAGACGUCGGUGGAAACCGUUUGGCUAGAGGUAGGUAGGGGAGAAUGGAAUUCCCGGUGUAGCGGUGAAAUGCGCAGAUAUCGGGAGGAACACCGGUGGCGAAGGCGGUUCUCUGGGCCUUACCUGACGCUGAGGAGCGAAAGCGUGGGGAGCGAACAGG